AGAACGAACGCUGGCGGCAGGCCUCAAACAUGCAAGUCUAGGGGGCGUAGCAAUACGUCACCGGCGGACGGGUGCGUAACACGUGGGAAUGUACUUAUUGGUUCGGAACAACUCAGGGAAACUUGAGCUAAUACCGAAUGUGCCCGAAAGGGGAAAGAUUUAUCGCCAAUAAAUCAGCCCGCGUCCGAUUAGCUAGUUGGUGGGGUAAAGGCCCACCAAGGCGACGAUCGGUAGCUGUUCUGAGAGGAAGAUCAGCCACACUGGGACUGAGACACGGCCCCAGACUCCUACGGGAGGCAGCAGUUGGGAAUCUUGGACAAUGGGGAAACCUGAUCCAGCCAUGCCGCGUGAGUGAUGAAGGCCUUCGGGUUGUAAAACUCUUUCGACGGGGACGAUAAUGACGGUACCCGUAGAAGAAGCUCCGGCUAACGUUCGCGCCAGCAGCCGC
rnacentral:rRNA from 1 species